AAUAUAUGGUGAGGAAAGACUCUCAUCAAUUCCAUAAAUCACUCCCAUGCUUCAAAAAGUGACUCACCGUCUAUCUUCUUGAAGCAGGUAAUUUGGUUCUUUAACU